rnacentral:rRNA from 1 species
AAAGGGAUUACCGGUGGCGGAUGGGCAUGCGGCGCAUUAGCUAGUCGGCGGGGUAACGGCCCACCGAGGCGACGAUGCGUAGGGGUUCUGAGAGGAAGGUCCCCCACACUGGUACUGAGACACGGACCAGACUCCUACGGGAGGCAGCAGUGAGGAAUAUUGGUCAAUGGGCGCGAGCCUGAACCAGCCAAGUCGCGUGAGGGAUGACGGUCCUACGGAUUGUAAACCUCUUUUGCCGGGGAGCAAGCGUGCGUUCGUGAACGCGCGUCGAGAGUACCCGGAGAAAAAGCAUCGGCUAACUCCGUGCCAGCAGCCGCGGUAAUACGGAGGAUGCGAGCGUUAUCCGGAUUUAUUGGGUUUAAAGGGUGCGUAGGCGGGAUGCCAAGUCAGCGGUAAAAAUGCGGUGCUCAACGCCGUCGAGCCGUUGAAACUGGCGUUCUUGAGUGGGCGAGAAGUAUGCGGAAUGCGUGGUGUAGCGGUGAAAUGCAUAGAUAUCACGCAGAACUCCGAUUGCGAAGGCAGCAUACCGGCGCCCUACUGACGCUGAGGCACGAAAGCGUGGGUAUCGAACAGGAUUAGAUACCCUGGUAGUCCACGCAGUAAACGAUGAAUGCUAACUGUCCGGCUCGAAUGAGCGCUGGGCGGU